ACAGAUUGGAGAUACCUCGAGAAUGACACCAACAGCAACAUUUGGCUGAAGGGGAGUUCCACCGACAAUGACCUAGGAUUGCGUUUCUCUUCCAGGACCCGGAUGCAAACUGUACACGGUUGCAGGCCGUGUGGCGUAUGACGGAGCUGGGCUGGUGCCUUCCAGCGGAGACUCGAGUGGAGCCACGUUUGCCACGGCAAAUUUCCAGUUUCACAUGGCGUGUGAUGGUACGGAGACGCACCCAGACACGUGUUCUAAUCGCUCCGUUAAAGCGUGGCUAAGAACUGAGGGCAAAACGUGCUGGCCCGUCUGCUGGCUAAAACCCCACAGCUCCCCGGUCCCCACCCAGCUGGCUCCGCACAGGGUCCGGUUCUGCUCCCAGCCCGUGCCCAUGGCCCAAGAAGACGCAGGAGCCCGACUCUCGGAGGGCCUGAUGCCACCCUCGUUCGGUGACGCGGAGCGGCCAGCUGGCCUCCGGCCAUCCCGGCAGAAGUUGGGACAUGAACUUGCUUACACAAAGGGCAAGCACGUGAAACCACCGGUCUUGGAGUCCUGGCCGAAAACGAGUGACACGAAAUGCAUUUGUGGAGACCUGCAGGAACCACCCCCCCCCCCGCCCCGGCCCCCCAGCC